rnacentral:misc_RNA from 1 species
AAUGCAGGUGCAGCUGGACAUUCUCCUGAGCUAAAAGCAUAUUCAUUUAGUCCCGUCAAACGGAUUAUUACUUUUGCUGCAGCUAACAUAAAGGGAGUUUGACCAUUUUGGCUGACUGAUGCAGGAUUUUCACAAGCGUCGUAAAAAAAACGCUUGUUAAACUCGAUCUCAAAUCAAGUAAGACUACCCGCUGAACUUAA